rnacentral:tRNA from 1 species
UGGCUCAGAUGGUAAAGCGCCUGUCUACAAUGCAGGAGACCCGGGUUCGAUCCCUGG